rnacentral:tRNA from 1 species
GAGCGUGUAGCUCAAUUGGAUAGAGCACUUGGCUACGGACCAAGGGGUUGGGGGUUCAAGUCCUCUCACGCUCG